AAUUCUGUCUCUUAGGCUUUCUCUUCCCAGAUUUCCCAAAGUUGGGAAAAGCUGGGUUGAGAGGGCAAAAGGAAAAAAAAA
rnacentral:pre_miRNA from 10 species